rnacentral:rRNA from 1 species
UACGUAGGGUGCGAGCGUUGUCCGGAAUUACUGGGCGUAAAGAGCUCGUAGGUGGUUUGUCGCGUUGUUCGUGAAAUCUCACGGCUUAACUGUGAGCGUGCGGGCGAUACGGGCAGACUAGAGUACUGCAGGGGAGACUGGAAUUCCUGGUGUAGCAGUGAAAUGCGCAGAUAUCAGGAGGAACACCGGUGGCGAAGGCGGGUCUCUGGGCCAUAACUGACGCUGAGGAGCGAAAGCGUGGGGAGCGAACAGG